CUUUGUAACUAAUAGGUGCUCUCUUUUGCACAAUAUAUAUUUAGACCUUGAACAUAUAAAAUUAUCAAAAUUUGAUUUUUUUUUUGGUUUUUUUUUUGAAACUAAAUACAUUUUAAUAGAAAACAAAAUACAAAAUAACUUUUCGGAAAACAAAAAUAUUUAAUCCUUUCCCCAUACAUUAGAACUUGCUUUAUCCUCAGGGCACAGUUUGACAUGUGCAUGCGCACUCAGGAUUCACCUCAUGAUGUGCUCACCGCAGGAGAGAGAGCGGAAAUGCUAACCUGGUUAACGGUCAUUCUGAAAUCUAAUACUAAUUCUAUCUUGUGACUUACUCCAAAUUAUUCUCUUUUUUUUUGGUACUGGGAAUCGAACUCAGAGACUUGCACUUGUCAGGCAGAUGCUGUGCCGCUGAGCUACAUUCCCAGCCCUCCAAAUUAUUAACCAUAAUCUUUUUUUUUUUUUUGGUGGUACUGGGGAAUGAACCCAGGGUCUCCCACAUGCUAGGCAAAUGUGCUACCACUAAGCUGCAGCCCCUCCUACCAUAAUCUUUCUUUUCAGGGGAGAGAAUUAAGUGCAGCCAAGAAAGAAUCUUUCCCACCAUAAUUGCAAGAGAGCCCAGUGUUCUCAGUCAACUCACCCUCUGACUUCCAUAAACAUGCUGUUUGGUGUGCUCAACGUGCACCCAAGAUUUCCCUUUCUCCUGAUACACUGUGCCACCAAAAUCUCUGAAUUCCCUGAAGCUCAAGAUUCCAAGUAUCACGCCAGUGCCAGGAGUCAAACCUGAAGAUAAAAUCAGAGAUGUUCCCCUCUGCCAGUGCUAGGUUUCCUCUUUGCAAUAAUAAUGAUCAUCACAAUAACAAUAAUAAAAAAUCCUGGUUCUACCAUUCAGGAAAAGGAUUAUCCCUCCCUUUGCCAGUUCUGUCCCCACUUCCCUCAAGGGUGGCCCAACUGAGGGUGUCUAGGGGUGUUGUGGAGGCCACUUGGCACCUGCCCUCAGUAAGCACGCUGGCAGGAGGACAAGAAGAAAAUGGGAAGGUGCUUGCACUUAGGGUCCCAAGGGUCCUCUGGGAAC
rnacentral:lncRNA from 1 species